AGUUGGCAGCUGCUUUCAGGGCUGGAUGAAUGUCAAGCGUUACGAACUGACGUACUAAAAAACUCUUACAUGCACAUCCUCACCUGUCUCCUGCAUCCUGAGUUCACAAUUACCACAGCUGUGAAGACUGUGUGGCAUAACGAUCCCGGAUUUGUUCCUCCGAGGAUGCGUCUCGCAAGAACACAGCAAAAGCCGCACAGGGGAGGUGCAGCCAGACGAGGGAAAGGGGAAAGUGUCCAUCAGAGGCAGGCCGAGUCGGGACACGACCCAUAAGGAGCGGUGUAAAGCCCUGCAAGUUAUUACCCCCGCUACCCGGGCCCAUUUUGUCUUCAUCAAUUCCUAAACUCAUAAGACUGCCUCUCUCCUUUUCCAAAUUGUACCAUCUAUCAAGCGAGUCACCGCCACUCCCGCUACCUCCUCCUUUUUUCUGCAGCUCUUUCUUGUUCUGUGGUUUGUCUUUGCUUGCAACAAAAGAAGGCGGCAGGCACAGAAGUAGUGGAAACUGAUUCCCAGGCACCAGAGAGGACAAAUACAGCGGCCCUUUAAAUACCCACUACUCUCUUUCCAUCUCUCCAUCAUUUUCCAGCCUGUUUGCCCCCUGUCCUUCUUUCAUGCCAUUGGCUGCACUCCUCCUUUUCUCCCUCCAUCUCUCUAAUUACGUGCAGAGACAAAGGCGUCUCAUUUUCCCUCCUCCCACUCAGAGCUGUCAGGCCUGGUGUAGGAGAGAGUUAAUUUC